GAGUUUGAUCGUGGCUCAGGACGAACGCUGGCGGCGUGCUUAACACAUGCAAGUCGAACGGAAAGGCCCUGCUUUUGUGGGGUGCUCGAGUGGCGAACGGGUGAGUAACACGUGAGUAACCUGCCCUUGACUUUGGGAUAACUUCAGGAAACUGGGGCUAAUACCGGAUAGGAGCUCCUGCUGCAUGGUGGGGGUUGGAAAGUUUCGGCGGUUGGGGAUGGACUCGCGGCUUAUCAGCUUGUUGGUGGGGUAGUGGCUUACCAAGGCUUUGACGGGUAGCCGGCCUGAGAGGGUGACCGGCCACAUUGGGACUGAGAUACGGCCCAGACUCCUACGGGAGGCAGCAGUGGGGAAUAUUGCACAAUGGGCGGAAGCCUGAUGCAGCAACGCCGCGUGCGGGAUGACGGCCUCGGUUGUAA
rnacentral:rRNA from 1 species